UACAAUACACUGACAAGGGAACCUCGCGAGAACCCGUAAAUUCUGAUUUUAAUAAAGGUAUAUAUUUAACAUAGGGUAAUUUGAGAUUAAUUCGAAAUAAUUUGUGAGGCCAGUAGGAAGACAAUUGUCACGAAUAAAAUGCAAAAAUGCACAUUCUGUGUGCCUCGUGUAGAAUCUUGUCAUCGAUCAACGCCAAAUUUGGGCGACUCGCAAUUUGAAAUCGGCAACCUACUGACAUACUAAUUAGCACACUGUCGUCGUCGUCGUCUUCGUUGUCGUCGUCGGAUUAAGAGCUGAUUGUCGUGUAAGCAUUAAUUAGAUCGAUACGCAACAUUCCAACAUUUAUAUAUUUCAAUACACAAAUGAUAAUUAUACAGGUAUGUGUGCGUGCGCACACAUAUAUUUUAGAUAAAAGAAAUAAAUUCACACGCGAAAGAAUCCAAUUGAGAAUCAGCAAGCAUUUCGUCGAGUCACAUUAUCCAUAUUUAACUACAAUACUUUGGGGUCAAUGAGGUGGAGGAGGAAAAGACGAAAGUGGCGACAAGGAUACAGUGGCGAGAGAUUUCGCGUAACGACGAGCCGCAUGAUUCACCCCGCCUCUUCGCAGAGAGUGAAGAAGUAUGCCGCUAUAAAUAUAAUGCGUUUCUGAGUCAUCGACUCGCGCGAGGUGCCACCGGUGGUGUUGGCUCAAUGGCACUUGAAAUCGCCGAUCGUUGACGCAUUUUCGCGACUUGCUCGCGUUGUAAGGAUGCCGAUUUUAACGAGCUGGAAUUUUCUCCCUGCUUUAUAAUCUAUUCCGUGCGAACCUAACGCGCCGAAAAUCUGUGUACGAUUUCGAAUCGAGCGAGGACCGCGUGAGUUUCUCUUUUAAACCAAACUGAAGAAUCCCCGUCGAUCGAGAUCGCGUCUGCUUUUCCUUCAGACCGCUGCCUUCCGUCGCAAAUGACAUACGAGUUCAAAGAACUGGAAAGUACAUCGAGACUCAGAGAAGUUCAAUAUAACUGAGUAAUCUAAUCUGUUCUUCUUUCAAAGGACUUGAUCUUAAAGUUAAAGUUAAAAAAUGCGAAAAUUCAGAAUUGAUUAUCUAUGUUUUACUUCUUUAAAAAUUUUAAAUUGAUUUUAUAUUACAAAUUCAAUCUUUCUAUGCAAUAAAAUUAAUUUUUGUUUGGUGAUUAGACUAUUAUUGUACUAAAUUCGUUAACCAUAUUUAGAUUUAAUGGUGUAGAUACAAUAUUACGAUAUUUGCUAUGCAAGCGCAAUGAUCGUAUGAAAGAUCACUUAGACUUUCCGCGGGAUAAUAAUUUGCGAGCAAGUCGCUAAUAAAUACCACGAGCUGAUAUCUCAAUGAUAAUUAUCUCCGUGCGCGAUACGAUGCGAAUAGGUGUGCUCUAAUACGUGCAAAUUGAAUAUUUUUUUACAUCGGUUUCUAAGAAUUGGCUAAUAAUCGUACCUGCUAUUGCUUAUAUUACUAUUGUAAUUAUCGAGAUCACUCGCUCAUUCGCUUGCACGCUUAUAAUCGGCGACGUGUCAGUCUAAGCAAAGGACAUCAAACGUGGAUGAUAAGCGAAAAUAUCCGAUUAAUUAGCCGAAUCGCUCAUCUGUAUGCCACGAGACGUGCUUGAUUGCACAUAAUUCAGCAAUAGGAAUAUACCGAUUUUCAACUAGCGUUCUUUUUAAGUGUUUCUUUAUUUUAUAAUACUUUAAUAUUUAAAAAAGAUCGAAAAAUACUAACAUUCUUAAAUAUUACUAUUCAUAAAUUUUAAUAAUUCUUUCACUUUAAAGUGUGAUGUGAAACUUGCGCGUAAAUCUGGAAGAACGUAACAAGUUCAACAAAUUAUAUAGAAUAUAUUAUUUAAAGUGAAACUAUUAUAUUAUUAAAACUAUUAUAAUAUUAUAUUAAAAUUUCAAAUCUACUAAUUAUAUAGUUUCGAGGAAAUAUUUGAGCUAGAGUUUUAUACAUCUUAUGAGAAAUGCGCGAACAACUGAUAUAUCACUUUUUAAAAUGCUUUGAUAUACAUAAAAAUCAUAUGAAUAGUUGAAGUAAAUCUUUUUUGUUUUUGCAAAAAAUUCAAGUCCAUUAUGUAAUUUUUUUGCACACUUUAAUUGAUAAUAAAAGUAUUAGAAUUUAAAUACGUGCUAAAAUUUUAUUGUUAUUAAUAAUAUAAGUCACAUUUUUGCUGAGAUCUGUAGCGAUCAUACUUUCCCAAAAAUCACGAGAAGCAACGGAAACGAUAUGCGUAAACAACUCACGAGCGGUGUACUUACUUGCCAAACAUUUUCUCCGCGCAAUUUUUAGGCAGUAAUGUAACUGAUCGUUUUCACUCGAGAUAAAGACUAAGACCGAUUGAAGGCUGUGAGGAACUUUCUAACCUAAUUCCGCGCAUUAUUUGUGACGCUGUAUUAGCCAAUUGCCAUUGGAAACUGGGUCUAGGUCCUUCAAGGAAUAUUAAGUCUCGUCUUUCAUGUUUCGACAAUUUGCUUAUAUUCGUCUAUUUGUAAAAUAUGAGACAGGGAGAUGAUAAAAAUCAGAAUUUCUGACGUAAAAAAAAUAGACAAAAACUUAAAAAAUUCUUUAAAAAGAUUUUUCCAUUAUAAAAUAAAAUCUGCGCGGGAAAUAAUAUAAUUUAUUACUUAUACAAAGUUAAAGUUUUCUAUAAAUGGUGACUUCAGUUACAUGUUAAUACUAUGUAGUUAAAACUUGUUAACAAAUUAUUAUUAGAGAAAUCAAUCUAAAAUUUAAUUUGUUUAUUUGAUUUAUUAAUCUCGACACAUUUUACAUGACGUGUUAAACAAAAA